UUUAGAAUCGGUUGUAUCUAAUCGGGAUGC
rnacentral:piRNA from 1 species